CACAUGGAAGAGUUAGAAAUCACAAUAUAAGACAGCCUGAAUCUGUGGAAUUCACUGCUUGGCAAAAAAAUUAUACAGUACUUCAGGUAUGAAGAAUGGAUCCACAUGUUGUCAUGAUGCCACCAACAGCAACAGGAAUUCUUAGCUGGUCUUGGCCUUCAUUGAAUUUAAGCAAGAAUUUCCUAGUAAAUGAGAAUUUCACUUCACGACAAUUAACUGACGUCACAAGGUAUCUAACGAGAUGCCCGCUUUGCUGAUCCAUGCCUGUUCGCUGCUAGCUGCCGCCUAGUCCACACCUCUCUCCUCUUCGUUCUGAGUGUUUACCUAGUUCUGGCUUCUCCAAGGAGUUGCCUGUUUAUUAUGGCUGAGUCAACCCACCCCUCUAAACCGUCAAGGCGGUCUUCUUCCUCCUCUUCGGAGCGAAAACGACCCAGGACUGAUAUGGAUCAUCAUAGUUCUGAUUUCAAGAAAAAGAAGGCUGGCCAAACCGAGAGUGGGGAUCAACCUUUUCCACCGCCUCCUGUUGCCGGGCUGAGUCAUACUGUGGACAGUGUGUCAGCUGACCCCACCCCCUCGUCUAAGGAUGAACAGCUGGACCAUCUGACUGCCCUUUUAAGUGGUGUUAUUGAAAAACUAGACAGUACUGCUGUAGCUAGUACUUCCUGGGGGUGUUACUCGGCGCCUAGUGCUGCUCAUAACCUUUCUUCUUCGGAAGAGGAAGGGGAACUCGCCAGUGCACGCGAUCCUUUAGAUGGUUUGGAAUACCUGGGUUCUACACCAACUGCCCCUACGGAGGUCUGUGAUGAGGAUGAUACUGACUUCCUCAGAGCUCCAGCUGAACUUUCCAGCCAUUUUUAUAGUAAGGUGGAGAAGGGUGAACCUUUAUCAGAACGUCUCGCCACCAUUCUUGACGCCAGUUUGCGACGCAGGCCAUCAUCUGAAGGUGUCAGACUUACCUGUGACAAAAUAAAACUUCCUAGCAAUGUUCCGAAUUUGUCGGUGCCUGCUACGAACUCUGCCACUCUUAAGGCUAUGAGUACUGGCGGAAACUUCUAGACACCUGCCUGUUUCACACAAAUAGUCUGCUUACCAAAGCCUUAGUCCCCAUAGCUCGGUGUGUCAGCAACAUUGGCAACAGGAAGGCACAGUCCAUAGGCUGUUACUUAGAGGGGCUGAAUAAUAGCAUUCGCCUCUUGGCGUCGGCCGUGAACUAUAUUAACCAACUACGGAAGGAGGUUGUUCGCCUCCAUGUUCAUGAUUCAGCCCUGACAGAAGUAUGCAAAUGGGACUACGAAGUUGGUAGUGAUGCCUUGUUUCCCUAUGAUGUGGUGAAGAAAUGUGAAGAGAUUCACAGGACUAGAAAAUUAGGCAGGACUUCUUUUCGUCCUUAUAGGCUUGAUGGUACCAGGAGGCACGUCCACACUAAGCAAAUAUCCAGGAGACCCAACUACCAGAGGACACACCCAAGAUCAUCCAGACCUUUUUUAGGGCAAACGUCAUCCUGGGGAAAAGGGAUGAACCAACAACGACCCUCCCAGUAAUGCCACAACCGGUCAGCUGCAGCUAGUAAGGCUGCCUUGAAACUACCACUCUCCACGGUCAUCUCCACUGUCGGAUGGUCCAUUGAGUGCACGUUCGCUAGAUUUUACAAGAAACCAUUAGGGAAGCCAACAUUAUUUGCAGAAGCAGUACUGUCAACAGACUGUUAACUCUGCAGAUGCAGGGGGGUUGUUUUUUGUGCAUAUGUUUGUCUUUGAGUGUAAGAUGUUUUUUGGUGAUGGAACUUGGGACAAUAAAAUUGUCAUACACCUGCAUUAAAAUUGUUUUUACCAAAUACUUAGCAACUGGGUUUAUGCCUGACUGUAGUACUUAAUGUGCUGCUGUAGGUUUGAGGAACCUCUCUGAAGGUUUUGUUAGAUACCUUGUGAUGCCAGUUAAUUGUCGUGAAGUGAUAUUGUAAGAUUAAAUGAAUACUUACCAAGUGUGAAGUUUGAUCUGAAUUUCAUGAACAAUUAACUGCAUCACUUAGGUAUUAAACACCCUCCCUACCCUAUAUCUACCCUGUCUUGUUAUUUGAUGUUCAGGGGGACCUAAACCUUUUUGUAAGCAUAAGGCCUGCUUCCUCAAACCUACACUCUAAAGGACUGGCGUGGAUCAGCAAAGCGGGCAUCUCGUUCAAUACCUAAGUGACGCAGUUAAAUGUUUGUGAAAUUCAGAUCAAACUUCACACUUGGUAAGUAUUCGUUUAAUCUUACAAUUCUUCAAGUUAGCCAGAAUCAGUGCUCUUCUGACGAUGUGAUAUCUAAAGGCCUAUCCAGAUGACUAGCACAGCUCAUUGGGCAUUGCUGCAAGUAGGUAAAGUCCACAAUCAGACUGUGUGGUACAAUAAUUACAACUAUGGUGGCUGAUAGAGCUCUAUUAGAUAGAGCUCUUGAAUAUGAGGUCUCUGACCACUGAUCUGUAGUGGGAACAGGGACAGAUAUGUUAGUCAAUCACUAAAGUGAACCUCUGCACCUUGCCUCCAUAAUGAAACCUGUGUGUCUAGUGACAUCAUAUUACCAAGCAUGAGCAGUAUCUGAUGAUUUCACCAACCAACUAAUACAGCCACUCUGCCCAUUUUUUAGCAAGCACAAGCAGAAAAUGAUUUAAUCAAUUGGCAAAUUAUUUACUUUCGCCUAAGAACAAUGCUUAAUUGUCUGGAUGGGCCUUCUUAAUCUGAAGAUACUUCUGAAAAGGUUCCACUUGAGAGUUGAAAAGACCAUGCAGACUGUGACAGUGUACCUAAUAGCCAUUUCAGAAAGGUUUCUAGCAAUGAGAGAACUGAUAGGAUACACUUAUGAGCCCAAAAUAAGUAACCAAAUAUUGAAGUGGCAUUUCAAGUAUGUCCUCAUCUGUAAAAAUUGAGCCUGCUAAAUAGCAAUACUUUCUUUUCAUAAAUGUUAUAAAUCUAUAACUGUGUUGCACUCAGUUGUAUAUAGCAGAUAUAACAGGCAACUCAUUAGCACUGUAGUGCUAUGGCAUAUGCUCACCAAACU
rnacentral:lncRNA from 1 species